UACGUAGGGUGCGAGCGUUGUCCGGAAUUAUUGGGCGUAAAGAGCUUGUAGGCGGUCUGUCGCGUCUGCUGUGAAAAUCCGGGGCUCAACCCCGGACUUGCAGUGGGUACGGGCAGACUAGAGUGUGGUAGGGGAGACUGGAAUUCCUGGUGUAGCGGUGAAAUGCGCAGAUAUCAGGAGGAACACCGAGUGGCGAAGGCAGGUCUCUGGGCCACUACUGACG
rnacentral:rRNA from 1 species